AAGCCCAAAAUGAAAAGCCAGCUUGCUGGCGUUGUAGUUGAGCGACCUUGGGGUGUCAGUCUGGGUAAGUCGCAUGGAAAUGCGUGCCGUGGAGGGUGAGAGCCCCGUCCAUCCCAUUCAGGACACCCCGCACAAGGGCGUUUCAGACGAGUCGGGUAGCUUGGGAAUGCUGCUCUAAUUGGUGGUAAAUCUCAUCAAAGGCUAAAUAACGGUGGGAGACCGAUAGCGAACAAGUACCGUGAGGGAAAGAUGACAAGCACUUUGAAAAGAGGGUGAAAAGAGCCUGAAACCGUUACGGGGGAAGCGGAUCGCGUUGGCCUGGUGGCCGCCUGUGUGUUCAGCCUUCGGGUGCAUUGAUGCAGGUGGUUAUCCGUCGUGGCUUCUCGGUGGCCGAAUUUGGGCUGCUGGGGGGUGAGGGCUCCCUUCGGGUGAGGACGACGGAGUGACGACGCGAUACGACCCGUCUUGAAACACGGACCAAGGAGUCUAGCGCGGGUGCGAGUCGGAGGGUGUUAAAACCCGUGGGCGAAGUGAAAGCGAGUGUAAAAACGAGCAGUUUGAGGCGGCAUAGAAUCGUUGAUUCUAGGUCCGACCUUGAGCAGUUGCGCUGGGACCCGAAAGAUGGUGAACUAUGCCGGAGUAGGGCAAAGCCAGAAGAAAUUCUGGUGGAGGCUCGUAGCGGUGCUGACGUGCAAAUCGCUCGUCGAACUUGGGUAUAGGGGCGAAAGACUAAUCGAACCAUCUAGUAGCUGGUUCCCUCCGAAGUUUCUCUCAGGAUAGCGGGCCGACAAGUUGUUUUGUGCGGUAAAGCGAAUGAUUAGCGCAUUCGGGGCCGUUUAGGCUUUGGGCGAUUCUCAAACUUUCAAUGCGCAAGGGUACCGGUGCUUUGUUGAGCGGUACCGAUAAAAACGUCGGCCUUGUGGGCCACUUUUGGUAUCCGCCAAGGAGUGUGUAACAACUCACCUGCCGAAUGAUUUAGCCCUGAAAAUGGAUGGCGCUUAAGCGGGCGACCGACACCAUGCCGUCUGUAAAAUAAAUCAGAUGAGUAGGAGGGCGUGGCGGCCGUGUCGAAGCGCGCCUGCAGAGGCGUGUGGAACGGCCGCUAGUGCAGAUCUUGGUGGUAGUAGCAAAUAUUCAAGCGAGAUCCUUGAAGGGCGAAGCGGGGAAGGGUUCCACGCGAACAUUGAUUGGGCGUGGGUGAGUCGUUCCUAAGCCGAGUGGCGAUUGCUAAGUAGCGGCGAAAGGGAAGCGGGUUGACAUUCCCGCACACGGAUGUGGAGGCGGCGACGCUUUAUUGGGGCGAACACGCUGGCGGUGGCGCUGGGCAGAGUUGUCUUUUCUGUUUGACCGCUGAUGCACGCGGUGUGGAAUCCGCUUGUCGGGAGAAACACGCGUGUACGGGCAGAGCGCCGGGGCUUUUCCGGCGUCCAGCUCGCCACCGACGGCCCUUGAAACUUUGCCUGCUGGUAUUUUAAGAUCCACGCCGUGGCGUACCGAUCACCGCAUCAGGUCCCCGAGGUGAACAGCCUCUGCUCAAUAUGAAAAAUGCAGGUAAGGGAAGUCGGCAAAUUGGACCCGUAACUUUGGGAAAAGGGUUGGCUCUAGUGCUGCGUGGGAGUGGUUGUCGGGUGUUGGUAUGUUUAGGCUUGCUGAGCGAGCGCGGGCCUUCGGGACUGUGUUUGUUCGGCGAGCCCGGAUGUGCCACGCUCGACNACGCCCACAGCAUGCAGCAGACUAGUUUAAUUAAAACAAAGCAUUGCGAAGGCCGUGGCCGGUGAUGACGCAAUGUGAUUUCUGCUCAGUGCUCUGAAUGUCAAAGUGAAGAGAUUCAAUCAAGCGCGGGUAAACAGCGGGAGUAACUAUGACUCUCUUAAGGUAGCCAAAUGCCUCGUCAUCUAAUUAGUGACGCGCAUGAAUGGAUUAACGAGAUUCCUACUGUCCCUAUCUGCUUCUAGCGAAACCACAGCCGAGGGAACGGGCUCGGCGAAAUCGGCGGGGAAAGAAGACCCUGUUGAGCUUGACUCUAUUCUAAUUUUGUGAAGCAAGCUGGGAGGUGUAGCAUAGGUGGGAGACUUCGGUCGUCCGUGAAAUACCACUACUCCCAGUCUUGCUUUACUUACUGGGUGGGUGUGGAUGAGUCUUACGACUCUUUUCUGGAACCAACUCAAUUUAAUUUGAGGACCACAGCCCAGUACACAUUUAGGAGGGGAGUUUGGCUGGGGCGGUACAUCUUCUACAAGACAACGAAGGUGUCCAAAGAUAAGCUCAGUGAGAACAGAAAUCUCACGUAGCGCAAAAGGGUAAAAGCUUGUUUGAUUUUGAUUUUCAGUGCGAGUCAAAAACGCGAAAGCGUGGCCUAUCGAUCCUUUCACGAUUCGAGAUUUGAAGCGAGAGGUGUCAGAAAAGUUACCACAGGGAUAACUGGCUUGUGGCGGCCAAGCGUUCAUAGCGA
rnacentral:rRNA from 1 species